GUAGUCCACGCCCUAAACGAUGCACACUAGACCGGUGCGGCUCUGACGCCGUAUUGGCCGUAGAGAAAUUGAUAAGUGUGCCGCCUGGGGAGUACGGUCGCAAGGCUAAAACUCAAAGAAAUUGACGGGGGCUCACACAAGCGGUGGAGCAUGUUGCUUAAUUCGAAGCAACGCGAAGAACCUUACCUGGGUUUGACAUGCACGGAUUAGUUGGCGGAAACGUCAAUAAGGCCCGCAAGGGUACAACGUGCACAGGUGCUGCAUGGCUGUCGUCAACUCGUGCUGUGAAGUGUUUGGUUAAGUCCAUUAACGAGCGCAACCCUUGUCGUUAGUUGCUAACAGGUAAUGCUGAGGACUCUAGCGAGACUGCCGGCGUCAAGCCGGAGGAAGGUGGGGAUGACGUCAAGUCCUCAUGGCCCUUACAUCCAGGGUUGCAAACGUGCUACAAUGGUGCGUACAAAGCGAUGCGAGACCGCAAAGUGGAGCAAAUCGCAAAAAACGCACCCCAGUUCGGAUUGCAGGCUGCAACCCGCCUGCAUGAAGUCGGAAUCGCUAGUAAUCGGAGAUCAGCUACGCUCCGGUGAAUAUGUUCCUGAGCCUUGUACACACCGCCCGUCAAGUCAUGGGAGCCGGUAGAGCCCAAAGUCGCCACACUACUGUGGUGCCUACGGCAAGAUCGGUGACUGGGACU
rnacentral:rRNA from 1 species